rnacentral:rRNA from 1 species
CGAAGGAUGCAAGCGUUAUCCGGAUUCAUUGGGUUUAAAGGGAGCGUAGGCGGCCCUGUAAGUCAGUGGUGAAAUCUCUCGGCUUAACCGAGAAAUUGCCAUUGAUACUGCAGGGCUUGAGUACAGUUGCCGUUGGCGGAAUAUGACAUGUAGUGGUGAAAUACAUAGAGAUGUCAUAGAACACCGGUUGCGAAGGCAGCUAACGAAACUGUAACUGACGCUGAGGCUCGAAAGUGCGGGGAUCAAACAGGAUUAGAUACCCUGGUAGUCCGCACUGUAAACGAUGAUUACUCGCUGCUAGAGGGCAACUUUUAGUGGCUUAGCGAAAGCGAUAAGUAAUCCACCUGGGGAGUACGCCGGCAACGGUG